GCCCGCACCCCUCGGAGGCUCUCCGGGAGACCCAGCUGCAGGGAGCACACCGCCCCGUGCCCCCUUGCGGGGCUGGGUGGCUUGAGUUUUGAGGAGGUGUGAAGCUCCCUAGGAGUUCCUGAGCAGCAAACCUAAUCCUGCAGCGAAGUCUUCGCAGGAAACCCUGCUCUCCACAGCGAACAAGGUCGGGGGAGGUCACGCCCAGGCCGGCCAAGGCUGGGGAAAAUGGCGGCCCCCGAGGCCUCACUGACGUCGCGUUGGCGCCACCACGUGGCUAAACAUGGUAUUGUUACUCCAAAGCAAGACACAGCCUCAUUGAACUAGGAAAUCUGCCCGCAGGAGGCCUCUGAACCUCUUCAAUAUACGCAACCCAAACUGGCAAGACGCCGUGCGGUGGAUCCAGGCAGUCAGGACUCAGAUCCCCUCGCCCCGUGAGUCUGAGUCCUUCAUCUGCUGGUCAGUGAAUGGAUCAAGAGUCGUGAGCGCGUUUGUGCAGGGAUGGCUGAGCGCCAAGACUUGACCCGAAGGGGUGCACACACGGUGAGCAGGCAGCUGUGAGUCACUGUGGAGUCGUCGGCUUGCGCAGAGCGCUGCUGUGAUUCGAGCACACCCAGGGAGGGUGCACACCGACCAGAUGGUGAGCAGGGCUCGGAGGAGGGUGUGAUGACAGCUCGCCUGCCUUCCCCUGCUGUCCCGGCCAAGAGCUGGGAGCAACACGAGUAUCCAUUAAUGGAUGCAUGGAGAAAUGAAACAUAGCACUCCCACAGCGGAGGACAGCAAAUGGACUACAAGCGGUGACACUGAUACCUGCUACAGUGGAUGAGUGAGAUAAGCCAGUUACCAGAAGACAAAUCCUGUGUGAUUCACUCACACACAGGGUCUUCAAAAACCUUACCGAAAAUGCACAUUUAAAAAAAUUCCAUUUUCCAUGAGUUUUUGAAGUCCCUUCAUAUAGCAACUUAGGGUUGUCAAGUUCACAGAGCUGGAGGGAGAGUGGAGGUGCCUGUGCCCAUGGGGUUGUGCAGGGGAAGUCAGUCCCAGAGCUGUCACACUCAGGUGUGAACACACACACACACACUGUGACCUGCACACUCAGACGUGGUCAGGGUCCGGGAGCUGUCACACUCGGGUAUGAACACACACACACUGACCAGCACACGCAGACGUGGUCAGGGUCCGGGAGCUAUCACACUUGGGUGUGAACACACACACACUGUGACCUGCACUCUCAGAUGUGGUCAGGGUCCGGGAGCUGUCACACUCGGGUGUGAACACACACACACUGUGACCUGCACUCUCAGACGUGGUCAGGAUGAUGCGUGUUGUGUUGUGUGCCCUUCAAUUACAAUGAACUUCCUCCUGCCUCUGCAUACAUCAGUCAGCCUGAUAGCUACACAUGGACAGCCGGGGGCGUCCAGAAGCACCAAGCCUGGCUGGGAGCAGAAACUCCAGCGGUGAACAGUGCUGUUGGCUUCCUGACCUCUGCUCCCUCUGACAAAAGGCUGUGUCUAGAAGAACCCUCUGUGAUGUUUGGGGAUCCUCCACCCCAGCUGAGCCCUGCUGGCUGAGUGGCUGUGUAUUGGCUCCCCAGAGACGUGCAGGGCCUCCUCGCCCUAGCACCUGGGGCUGCAUUGCCUCCCCUGGCACAAAGGACUUUGCAGAAGGGAUUAGGUUAAGGAGCUUGAGAAGGGACGGUGAUCCUGGAUUAUCUGGGUGGUAAUCACAGGAUCCACAAGAGGGAGGCACAAGGACUGGUUGGGAGUAAGAGAUGUGACAACUGAAGCAGAGUGUGGAGCGGUGGGAGGAAGGGACCAGGAACGAGGCAGGCAGCUGGGCUCUAGCAGUUGCCAAAGGCAAGGGAUGAAGUAUGCCCUGGGCUCCGGUAGGAGCCAGCCAGACCUCUAGCACUGAAGGGCACUGAAUGUGUGUGGUCUGAUGCCACCUGGUUCCUAGGAAUGGGUGACCACUGCCACAGGGCACCAGUGCAGCGGCGCUGUGCCGCGGUCUCUAGAGCUCACACGAUUGGACCCUCACCUUCCUGGUUCCGUGGGAGCAGGCUCCUGGGUGCAUUAGCUGGGGAUUGCCCAUCAGAGGCUCCUGUGAUAUGGAGUGAGUCACUCAAAGAAGGCAGUGGAAGGUUCUCGGGGGUGGUGGCAGUGGGACAUACAGGGUCUAAUGAGUGACCUUUGGGGUCCUGCCCAGCUUGUGCAGUGGCGCCUCCUGCUGAUCUGUUCUGUGUCCAGGGUCCAUCAGGGAGAGUGAUAGUGACAUCCUCACUUGGUCCUUACGGCAUGGCUUUGGCUCUGUAGCUCUGACUUUUAAAUAAAUAAAUAAAUCUUUAAAAAUAUUUUCCCUAUAUAUAUAUAGUGGUUUAUUUAUUUGAAAGGGAGAGAGAGAGAGAGAGAGAGAGA